rnacentral:lncRNA from 1 species
UCCUCUUGCCUGUGCUUUGUUUCUGGCCAAGUCACCUACUUUAAAUGAGUGAAAAUUCUUAAGAAGACAUCUGUUUGUCUUAUGUGUGACGUCUACCUGCACUACUGCAAGACUGUUCAAAUCUGCUUCGUACUGGGUCUCGAAAAGCUCCACUGAAAUUUAGAGAACGCAUCAUUACCAGUGGAAGGCCAAUGUGUGGGUCUUGAGCUGAACCAGUGAAUACAGAGUUCAUAGAACAGGAUCUGUGCACAAGCCUGCAGGGAAAGCCGUGUCAGCUCCCUUUGGUAAGUGCAUGCAGCCGCACUGAAUCUUCUGUCACCAUGGUGUCACUUUCGCUCACAGAGCUACCAAGCAGCUUCACAGUAGCCCGGAAUUAGGCUGUUAGAGUUGAUUUUCAUAUAAUGCAUGACAAACUAUGACACAGUAAUUGUUAU